ensembl:lncRNA
GUUUUUUAUUUGCUUCAUACAUGCUAAGACCAUUUGUUGGAAGAGGACUCUCAUGGUGCGCAGUCCAAAGAAGCUCAGCCAGGAGCUCACGCAUCCAGGUCAGCCUGGUCCCGUUCAGUGAAGGAUCUGAGACAUUUAUAGAUGUCUGCGCUCCAAAAUAAUGGAGAAUUCACAUCUGCUUUGUUCAGUUUGAGCCUCAAACCUCCUGACAUGGAAUAAGAGGCGUGUUGGUCAGAGGACACCUUUGGAGGGUGCUAGCCCAAACCCUCGCUUAAGGGAGACCAUCACUGAUGGUAGAUCUGGUCAGCUGUGGCUUUGUGUAGACAAGCCCUGAAAACUCCAAGGAGGGUAAGCUGUACCCCUGGUGAGCCUAACACUUUGUCUUGAUUACUGGUACAACAAAGAGCUGCCUAUGGUGAGAAUUCUUAGAAUCAUAGAAUUGGAAAGGUUGGAAAUUGAAUUAAGGUUGGAAAAAACCUCUAGGAUCUUCUAGUCCAACCCCAACCCAUCCCCACCAUGCCCACUGACUGUGUCAGUGCCACAGCUACCCCCAGGUGCAGGCACUUGAAGAGGUGGCUUGGCGGUACUUGGAAUGUCUUGGAGUACUACUGGGUCUUUCAUUGUAAAACUGCACUGUGCUGGGACUUGCCACAGCCACCAGGAGACAGAAGGGGAGGGAAAGGGAUGAGAGGUAGAGCUGCCACUGCUGAGAUGGGGCCAUACAAAGCCAGUGUGCUCCUCUGGCUAUGUGUGGGCCCUGCUCCCUGGGUUAGGCACUUCGGCAUCUAAGGCAUUACAUCCUCCUGGAGCCUGCGUGGGGGCUGCAGCAGAGCAGGCUGCUCCUGGUCCUGCUCCCCAUCCCAGCCCCGGGGGCUCACAGUGCUGGGGAGCAUUAGGAGGGGGCAGACGAGACAAAAGCAAGGCAGUAUUGUACCUGAAGGUGCAGUCCCACCAUGCCAGAGGAGCAGAGCAGGUCCUGCAUUGGUAACCAGCCACAGCAGUGGCUGAGGCAGGCCUGAGGUACAGCCUGCUGGUGGUCAGGGCAGCAAGGAAGGCCUUUGUGCAAGGUCCUGACAAUUUCCUGACGUGCAGUGUGUGCACAGGUCUGUCAGCAGAGCAGCUUCAUGAAAAGAGGAGUGGGCGUACGACUCCAGGCACUGCUUCUUCCACCCGGGAGCAGCAGCUGAAGGAACCAUUUGAACGUGAUCUGUGGCACCUGGCUCCUUUUGCAGUUCUUCAGUGAUAGUCGUGAGAAGUGUCCUUCAGCCAAGAAUGGACAGCAAGGGGACACUUUGGCCUGGAACCACUGGUUGUACAUCUCUUAAUUCAUCUUGCAGUGACCCAGUGUUCACAGCCUCACAAUUCACAAAGGCUGUUUCUUCCAGCGCCCGGUAGGAAAUGUGGUUUCAUUAUCAGCACAAAAGCCAGGGGUUCAUAACCGUCUGUUCUCAGAGAUGCUGUGAUGUCUUUGCCACGCUUUCAAAGGCCGUUACAGGCAUUUCAUGUCUACCUCCUGCUGCUGACACGGGUGUGCUGAUGGCCAGCAUUGCGUCCAGCUGUGCUGACGCCCUGUACCUGCCACAGUGCGACCUGCCCGCACCACUGGAGGGGCACCUCCUCAUGCCGUUGCACCGGACAGAAGUCUUCCUCAGCCCAUGAAGCCUGAGCUGUGAGAGCCUCAGGGAGAGCCACUGCAGAGGCCCUACAGAAGAGGCAUUUUCCCUCAGCUACUUGAUCUUUACCCCCAGGAGGAUCCUCCUCCCUGAGCCACAUACACAGAGCUCACACCCACCGGCGCUCUGUGGCUCUCCCAAAGAGUCACACCCUGCCCUGGCAGCUUGGUGCCCCCAUACAAGUCCCGGCCUCGCUGGGUCACUCCUCCUGGUGUGCAAAGAGCAGGGGCUCCAGUGACCUCCCACCUCCCCAGCUGCUAUUUUCAGUCUGUGUGAAGCUCCUGCCAGAGCUGCAAUGUCAACCAGACUGCUAACAUUUUUACACGCUGAGUCUACCUCUCCAUGAGCCCUCAAACAGAGGCUGCUGUAAGCAUUUUCCCAGAUUUGCUGUGUCCCUCAGAGGACAGGUAUAGCCUUUAUUGGCAAAGGCAGACAGCAUCUGCAUCUCUGCGAGGAAAGCUGCCAGGUUAACCACAUUUUAGAGCUACACCAGAAACUUUCAUUCUGAGUGUUAACUCCUGCUUUUCCCCUCUGCUGCCCCACGCCCCAGCCCCGAGUUUUGCUGCCUGCAGCGCUCAGCUCCUCCUGCCUGCCCCGUGGUGCCACCUGGGAUGUGCCCGGUGCUGCUGCCGCAGGGCCCCGCUCUCCAUCUGCACUGAAUCCAGUCUGUGAGCAGGCGGCCAUGAUCUCACUGUCUCUCUAUUUGUUAUUUACAAGUGCGGGGGGACUGUGUGCUCGAAUGUCUUCAGAUUAAGUUACUCCAAAGUUAUUCAGCAGUGCCAAAACAGCAUCGGCGAGGCAGCACGCGAGGGAUGUGUCUGGUGUGCGCUGAUGGGCUGAGAGGGGUCACGCCUGGCUGUGCUCUCUGACGGAGCCCGCAGACCCCUCUGCUGGAGGCAAAGCCCACCUGGCAUCUGCCAUCUCACACCGCUACGGGCAGAGCCUGCUGAGCUGGGGCACCCCGAGGCUUUGCCUCCACAUGGCGUUGUUCCUUGCAGGGGGGGCAGGGCCUUGCCGGCUCUGCUGUGCCACUGGGCGACUGACUCCAAGCGGUGCUGCCAAGGCUGUGCUGACCAAGCAGGGCUCAGCUCUCUGCAGCACUCCUACUCACGGGAUGUCAGCGCUCUGCCUCGUCUCGAGGCCUCUGAGUUGCUGUUGUCAGCAUGCCCAUGGCUGACAUGUGCAGUGCGGGGCUGUGCCGGCUGUUCCUGCACAGCCUUGGCCGGGCUGCCGGUGCUGACAGACACAGAAAUCCUCAUGUGAGCAGACGUGAUGCGGCACAGGCCCCAGGGGCACACACACAGCACAGCACUGCUGUCUGCACGCCCCGCAGUGCCCACGUCUGACAGCCCUGCAGGAAGCAGCGCUCUGUGGCACCGCACCUCUCAGCCCCGCGAGGCUUUGCCGUUUCCCAGAGGCGAUUUUUGUUCCCUCGUGGAAAAGGCACCAUCGCUCACGGUGAAGCUUCAUUUCACAGCAAAACAGAACGGGGUCCCACAGCUGAUUUCAGGACACGCCGCACCCCUCGGCCUCCCCAUCGCUCCGUGCCGCCGCCAGAGUCCCCCGGCUCCCCUCGGCCGGGCGCCCGUUCUCCCUCAGCACCGCCUUCUCCCCUUCUCUCCCUGCUCCAUGUCACCGGGCAGCCCGCGCCCCGCUCCCGGACGGAGCGCCCGAGGUGGACGAUGGGGCAGCAGCCGCCGCUCC